UCUCUAAAAUGAGCUAUCCUCUUCACAGAAGCCUUGUGAUGAGCGAGUUAAUACACACAAAGCGAGACCUGCUACAGAGCAGACCAUGCGUGCUCUACAAAUGCCAGGUGUGCAGUAACCACCACCAUCAGCCUAACCCUCUGUCAAAUUAAAUACUGCCUGGAUUUUAAUGAACCAGUCUGAAAUUUUAGCUAGAAGGUUACAGGUUUCAAGCUAUAACGUGUGAGGGGAACCAACAACAUCAAUGAUGGGCAAAGGUAAAUGGACCAAUGGAGGGGAACAGCCCCAGACUUUACAGGGCAGCUUUUACUCACUCUCUCAGAUCCAAACUGUAUUAAGGGAAAUUCUGUUGGGAAUGGAUGCUAACAGUUGACCUAAACCUUGACCUUGGGUCUAAAAAUUACAGAUUUACUAUAGAAUUUAAGAUUUUCCCCAAUAAAUGUAACAGUUUACCCUAGAACUAAUUACUUUAACUUUUUCCAAUCACCAAAACUUGUCUUAGCUCAUUCAAUACAGGCGCCCUUUCUAAUUGCUCUUGCAAUUUUCCAGCUCUUUAGCCCCGUCUGGGUUAAUCCAGUCCGCCGGAUGGAAACUUUCCCGGCAUGGUGUUCCACUCGGUCAUUUAGAGGCACUGUUGGCGACAGACUCCGCUUUCUGGUUGGACAGAGGAGGCUGUUACUUCCAAGCCCGGUUUGCCUUGGCAUCCUAGAGCUACACCUCCCGAGGGCAGCUGAGGCGUGCCUUCCACUAGUGACCUUUCAAAGCAAAAUGCUUCAUGCAGCCCACCAGGGACAGCAGCAACCCGCGCUCCCCAAGGGCACUCUGCAGCCAGACUGUGUUCGCUGACCCCAUUUAAUGGUUUCAAGAACCCCAUGAAGACGAGAACAAAGGCACAAAACAGACUGGGAUCAAACUCGGGACCUUGUGCUUGCGAGUCAG